GCAGUCGAACGAUGAAGCCCAGCUUGCUGGGUGGAUUAGUGGCGAACGGGUGAGUAACACGUGAGUAACCUGCCCCCGACUCUGGGAUAAGCCCGGGAAACUGGGUCUAAUACCGGAUAUUACCUUUGACCGCAUGGUUGUUGGUGGAAAGAUUUAUCGGUGGGGGAUGGACUCGCGGCCUAUCAGCUUGUUGGUGAGGUAAUGGCUCACCAAGGCGACGACGGGUAGCCGGCCUGAGAGGGUGACCGGCCACACUGGGACUGAGACACGGCCCAGACUCCUACGGGAGGCAGCAGUGGGGAAUAUUGCACAAUGGGCGAAAGCCUGAUGCAGCGACGCCGCGUGAGGGAUGACGGCCUUCGGGUUGUAAACCUCUUUCAGUAGGGAAGAAGCGAAAGUGACGGUACCUGCAGAAGAAGCGCCGGCUAACUACGUGCCAGCAGCCGCGGUAAUACGUAGGGCGCAAGCGUUAUCCGGAUUUAUUGGGCGUAAAGAGCUCGUAGGCGGUUUGUCGCGUCUGCCGUGAAAGUCCGAGGCUCAACCUCGGAUCUGCGGUGGGUACGGGCAGACUAGAGUGAUGUAGGGGAGACUGGAAUUCCUGGUGUAGCGGUGAAAUGCGCAGAUAUCAGGA
rnacentral:rRNA from 1 species